rnacentral:rRNA from 1 species
UACAGAGGGUGCGAGCGUUGUUCGGAAUUAUUGGGCGUAAAGGGCGCGUAGGCGGUGCGGUAAGUCACCUGUGAAAUCUCCUGGCUCAACUGGGAGCUUGCAGGCGAAACUGCCGUGCUGGAGUGUGGGAGAGGUGAGUGGAAUUCCCGGUGUAGCGGUGAAAUGCGUAGAUAUCCUGAGGAACACCGGUGGCGAAAGCGGCGCGCUGGAUCGCUUCUGACGCUGAGGCGCGAAAGCCAGGGGAGCAAACAGG